UACGUAGGGUGCAAGCGUUAUUCGGAAUUACUGGGCUUAAAGGGUGCGUAGGCGGUGAAGUAAGUCGGAUGUGAAAUACCUUAGCUUAACUAGGGAACUGCACUCGAUACUACUUUGCUAGAGUAAGACAGAGGUGAGUGGAACUGAGGGUGGAGCGGUGAAAUGCGUUGAUAUCCUCAGGAACACCGGUGGCGAAGGCGACUCACUGGGUCUUUACUGACGCUGAUGCACGAAAGCUAGGGUAGCAAACGGG
rnacentral:rRNA from 1 species